GAGAACGUGGUGUAAUCGGAUAACACGUCAGUCUACGUUAGCGUUAGCGGCGCGAUAGCGCUAACUGAAGACUGUAGGUUCAAUCCCUACCGUUCUCG
rnacentral:tRNA from 1 species